rnacentral:pre_miRNA from 1 species
AAUAGAUGACGCUGUUGACUUUUGGGCACACGUUUGACUAUUUGUCUUAUUCAAAAAUUUUACGUUAUUACAAUUUAUUUUGUUAUGAGUUAUUUUAUCACUAAAAAUACUUUUAAGUAUGAUUUAUAUCUUAUGUAUUUGUAUAAAAUUUUUGAAUAAGACGAAUGAUCAAACAUGUAUCCAAAAGUCAAUGGCGUCAUCUAUU